CAGUAGUCCAGUUUGAUCAUGGCUCAGGACGAACGCUGGCGGCAUGCCUAACACAUGCAAGUCGAACGAAGCCUUCGGGCUUAGUGGCGCACGGGUGCGUAACGCGUGGGAACCUACCAUCAGGUUCGGAAUAACAGUUAGAAAUGACUGCUAAUACCGGAUAAUGUCUUCGGACCAAAGAUUUAUCGCCUUUUGAUGGGCCCGCGUAAGAUUAGGUAGUUGGUGGGGUAAAGGCCUACCAAGCCGACGAUCUUUAGCUGGUCUGAGAGGAUGAUCAGCCACACUGGGACUGAGACACGGCCCAGACUCCUACGGGAGGCAGCAGUGGGGAAUAUUGCACAAUGGGCGCAAGCCUGAUGCAGCAACGCCGCGUGAGUGAUGAAGGCUUUCGGGUCGUAAAACUCUGUCCUAUGGGAAGAAAAAAUAGACGGUACCAUAGGAGGAAGCCCCGGCUAACUACGUG
rnacentral:rRNA from 1 species